UACUGCGCAAUGGAGGAAACUCUGACGCAGUGACGCCGCGUAUAGGAAGAAGGUUUUCGGAUUGUAAACUAUUGUCGUGAGGGAAGAAAUUGACAGUACCCCAGGAGGAAGCUCCGGCUAACUAUGUGCCAGCAGCCGCGGUAAUACAUAGGGAGCAAGCGUUAUCCGGAUUUAAUGGGUGUAAAGGGUGCGUAGACGGGAAAUUAAGUUAGUUGUGAAAUCCCUCGGCUUAACUGAGGAACUGCAACUAAAACUGAUUUUCUUGAGUACUGGAGAGGAAAGUGGAAUUCCUAGUGUAGCGGUGAAAUGCGUAGAUAUUAGGAGGAACACCGGUGGCGAAGGCGGCCUGCUGGACUGUAACUGACACUGAGGCUCGAAAGCGUGGGGAGCAAACAGG
rnacentral:rRNA from 1 species